UACGUAGGGUGCAAGCGUUAAUCGGAAUUACUGGGCGUAAAGCGUGCGCAGGCGGUUGUGCAAGACCGAUGUGAAAUCCCCGGGCUUAACCUGGGAAUGGCAUUGGUGACUGCACGGCUAGAGUGUGUCAGAGGGGGGGUAGAAUUCCACGUGUAGCAGUGAAAUGCGUAGAGAUGUGGAGGAAAUCCAGCUGGCGGCGAAAGGCGGC
rnacentral:rRNA from 1 species